UACGGAGGAUGCGAGCGUUAUCCGGAUUUAUUGGGUUUAAAGGGUGCGUAGGCGGGCUUUUAAGUCAGCGGUAAAAAUUCGGGGCUCAACCCCGUCCGGCCGUUGAAACUGGGGGCCUUGAGUGGGCGAGAAGAAGGCGGAAUGCGUGGUGUAGCGGUGAAAUGCAUAGAUAUCACGCAGAACUCCGAUUGCGAAGGCAGCAUACCGGCGCCCGACUGACGCUGAGGCACGAAAGCGUGGGGAUCGAACAGG
rnacentral:rRNA from 1 species